AGCGAUUCAUUGGAAUGGUAACUACCGCAGAAUAUUCGGAGAUAUUGCCAUUGAUGACGUUCAAGCUAAAGUCCCUUGUGCUGAUUGUGACUUCGAGAGAGAUAUGUGUGGAUGGAUCCAGUCGACAGAAGACGAUGCGGACUGGAAUUGUCGACACCAGGGACAAACAAAAUCGGGAGGCACUGGUCCAGAAUUGGACAGGACCACAGGAGAUACCAAUGGUCACUAUUGCUACUUGGAGGCGAGUAGUCCUCUGAGUGCAGGAGAUAAUGCCGUGCUGCUCAGUGGCAUAUUCGAGUAUGAUCCCAAAUAUCCCGGUCUAACGUGGUAUGUCAACUUCUGGUACAACAUGUACGG